rnacentral:lncRNA from 1 species
AGGCACAGCAGUGGAUCGCUCCUUAAGCAAGUGAACGAUAUACAUCGAAUCCGACUCAAUCCAUAAAUAAUUCCAUCCCUUAUCAUGAGCAAUAAAAAUGGCUUUGAUGACCGCAAGAAGCUCCGCUUCAAAGGCAAAGCCCACUCCCCCUUUAUAAUGAAAGCAACCACGAACCCAACUAAAGUUAUCACGAAAGACCCCACCAGCACCAAUAUUACCCGGAG